AGCAGCCGCGGUAAUUCCAGCUCCAAUAGCGUAUAUUAAAGUUGCUGCAGUUAAAAAGCUCGUAGUUGAAUUUCGGGACCGAUAUAUCGGUCGUGCCUCGGUACGUACUGGUAUUUUCGGUUUCUACCUUCUGACGAACCUUGAUGUCAUUAAUUUGGUGUCUUGGGGAAUCAGGACUGUUACUUUGAAAAAAUUAGAGUGUUUAAAGCAGGCUCACGCUUGAAUACAUUAGCAUGGAAUAAUGAAAUAGGACGUUUGAUUCUAUUUUGUUGGUUUCUAGGAUCGACGUAAUGAUUAAUAGGGAUAGUUGGGGGCAUUAGUAUUCAGUUGUCAGAGGUGAAAUUCUUGGAUUUAUUGAAGACUAACUACUGCGAAAGCAUUUGCCAAGGAUGUUUUCAUUAAUCAAGAACGAAAGUUAGGGGAUCGAAGACGAUCAGAUACCGUCGUAGUCUUAACCAUAAACUAUGCCGACUAGGGAUCGGAUGAUGUUAAUUUUUUAAUGACUCAUUCGGCGCCUUAC
rnacentral:rRNA from 1 species